rnacentral:rRNA from 1 species
UGGGGAAUAUUGGACAAUGGGCGCAAGCCUGAUCCAGCAAUGCCGCGUGGGUGAAGACGGCCUGCGGGUUGUAAAGCCCUUUGGGCGGGGAGGAACGACGGCGCGCCAACACCGUGCCGUACUGACGUUACCCGCGAAACAAGCACCGGCUAACUCCGUGCCAGCAGCCGCGGUAAUACGGAGGGUGCGAGCGUUAAUCGGAAUUACUGGGCGUAAAGCGUGCGUAGGCGGAUGGGUCAGUCAGCCGUGA